CCUGUUUUUGCAACAGAGGCAGAAUGGCUGGAAACAGAGACAGGGCGACUGCAGGGUGGCACAUUGCAGUCUGUGCGAGCUCAAUGGUGAGUGUGCCUCGGGCUUUUGUAGAGCAUGCACGUCCAUCGCUGCUGCACCCAAACAACGUGCGCAUUUUUCUGCAUGAUGUGUGUCUAUCCCAGCAAAUUUAUCCACCUAGGCUCCCUCCUUCCACACACAGAUACCUGAAAAACUUGUUUCUCCAGGCAGUUUAAUUGCCCUUUUCUUUGUUCUCUCUGUUCUUUUGUUUUCCUUCAUUUUUCCAGCUGUUUUUAUUCACAGAAACUCCGAGUGAAAAAAACCAACGGAAUGAAGAAAAAUCUCGCCAAACAUUAGAUCACAUGAAACAAAAAACUAUCACUACUUCAGUAUCAAUGCAGAUUGGGAUAACAAUACAAUCAAAUAAAAUUGUGUCUGUACACGUCCUAAAACAAUGAAAGAACUUCAAAGUCCACACAAAUGUUUCAUCAAGUCAAGAGUAAGAUAUCAGAUCUUUUGACCUGCCAAGCAUCAUCCACUACUAGCAUGCAAAGGUCAGAUAUAUCAAUCAAAACCUCAAAUCUUUUAGGCUCUCUGCAUUGAAAUUAUUCUCACUUCAUAACAUUUCCUCACCUCUUAACACCUACUUAAGCAUUUUACAAAGACAUUUAGAAACCACCACCAAAAUAUUCCUACACUAAAAUCAACAACUUUUUUAAUGACCUUUCUUUUUUAAGAAAAAAAGAUGAAUUGACAGCCAGAAUUGAAAACUUGAAUGCCAAAUGUACAACCAGAGGCAAUAUAAUUCCAUACCAGGAUUGCUGGCUAUGGAUGUUUCGUAUUAAACGCCAAUACACCAUCUUGAACUAUUGGAACGGGCAGAAUAAAAUCUGCUGGAAACAAAAUUUUCAUCUAGGAGAUAAAACCCUCUUCUGUCCCCCUCCACCCCUACAACAAGCAAAAGAAAAAAAGAAAGAAAACUAACGCAAAUUUGAAAAUUUUCAAAAUGCUAGAAGAAUUGAAUUGAAUAUGACAGAAAGAGAUGGAUCAGAAUAAAUGAAGGAUGUUUGUUUUCCUUUGAUUAACAAAACAAUAUGCAGAAUUUCUUGGAACAAAUUGAGCCAGAAAAGACCGACUCCUUUAUUUCUUGGUAUAUGCAUCUUAUCAACGUCGAAGAGUCGGAUUCUUGGUGAAACACAGACGGUACCUUUUAUCUGCUUAUCAGAAAAUCCAACACUUUCGGAGGACAAAUUAGAGACCGAGUAUCAAGUCUUCAUCAUCUUCAUUUAAAACAUUCUCGAAAAUCUAGACUCUGCCACUCUUUUCGUUCUUAUGAAAAUACAUUCUCGAGAAUCGUACAUAAAAAGAUGCGGGAAUUCUUCGAAAUAGAGAUAGCCAAAGGAGGAGCCUUAUGGUUCUUAUGAUCAAGUAAAACUUUUUUGAGAAUCCCAAUGCAAGAAGCCAGUCUUUUGUUUAAACUAAAGUGAGGACAUAAUAAUUCUUGGAAAUAAAUCAAUCCACAACAGAACUCACAAGAUCUCUUGGCUCCUGCUCGCCUGCGGCGGCGGCUACUUGACCACACACAGUAAUUGGGCUUCCUCGACUGCUUGCCUGCCACCGCCGCACCCCUUUUUUCCUUCUACUGGCUGCCGCUCCCUUCCUCUCUCACCUGAUCGGCCCUCUCUCUCUCUCCCUCUCUCUCUCCUUCCCUUCUCUCUUCAGGUUUCGAAGUCGGCGGAUGCAAGGUGUAUAUAUAUUUAGUGGGAUGUAUUUUAGACCGUUGGGCACCGAUAUCUGACCGUUCGAUCUACGAUUCCAUUAAGGGUAUGUUGGUCAUUUAACCCUCCCUUUAACAGUGGCCGUUGGAUCUCAAAAAUCUGGACCGUACGUUCUGCAUACUUACCUCUGCUUGCGUGGCUUCGACGCGGACCGUCCACCACGCAGCGGACUCUGGUAAGUACUGUAGAAUAUUAUAA
rnacentral:lncRNA from 1 species